CCGUUAUCGAAAGAUCGCUGGACUGUUUUUUCAUUUUUAGUCGCAUUGCGUUUUUAUGCCACAGGGACCCAUUUAUUACAAAUAAGUGAUUUUGGAGGAAUGCAUUAUUCUACUGUGUCUCGAAUAGUAAAACGUGUAUCCCGGGCAUUAGCUCGACAGUCUAUUAAAUUUCCACAAACCCAAGCAGAAAUAAGUCUAACAAAAAACGAAUUCUAUGACAUAGCAUCAUUCCCAAAUGUAGUGGGUGUCAUAGAUUGUACCCAUGUAAAGAUUGAAUCUCCAGGUGAUAGUGGUUAUGAAUUACAAACAUAUUUAUUGACCCCUCUCCUUGACUCUAUUCUACCAAAGGAACAGCUUUAUAAUGAGUCACACAUUCGAACAAGAGGAAUAAUAGAAAGACUUUUUGGAAUUUGGAAAAGAAGGUUUCCUGUUAUAGCAUAUGGCUGUAGGUUGAAACUUGCUACAACUUUAGAGGUUAUCAUAUCAACAGGAGUUCUUCACAAUAUCGCAAAAAGGAUGGGUGAAGGAGAACCCCCAUUACCAGAUAAUAUUGAGGUCCAUGAAUUUCAGCAGCUUAUUAGACACGGGAAUAUUCCAGAUGUGCCCCGCCUUAAUGGGCGAAGAAAUUUAAGAGGAAUUCAUGUCAGACAAACUUUAAUUGACAAUUACUUUGCCAAUUUAUAAUUAAAAUUUACGGUAAACUUU
rnacentral:misc_RNA from 1 species